rnacentral:rRNA from 1 species
UACGUAGGGUGCGAGCGUUGCCCGGAUUUAUUGGGCGUAAAGGGCUCGUAGGCGGUUUGUCGCGUCGGGAGUGAAAACGCCGUGCUUAACACGGCGCUUGCUUUCGAUACGGGCAGACUAGAGGUAUGCAGGGGAGAACGGAAUUCCUGGUGUAGCGGUGAAAUGCGCAGAUAUCAGGAGGAACACCGGUGGCGAAGGCGGUUCUCUGGGCCGAUACUGACGCUGAGGAGCGAAAGCGUGGGGAGCGAACAGG